GAUGAACGCUGACAGAAUGCUUAACACAUGCAAGUCAACUUGAACUUCGGUUUGGGUGGCGGACGGGUGAGUAACGCGUAAAGAACUUGCCUCACAGCUAGGGACAACAUUUGGAAACGAAUGCUAAUACCUGAUAUUAUGAUUAUAUGGCAUCGUAUAAUUAUGAAAGCUAUAUGCGCUGUGAGAGAGCUUUGCGUCCCAUUAGCUAGUUGGAGAGGUAACAGCUCACCAAGGCGAUGAUGGGUAGCCGGCCUGAGAGGGUGAUCGGCCACAAGGGGACUGAGACACGGCCCUUACUCCUACGGGAGGCAGCAGUGGGGAAUAUUGGACAAUGGACCGAGAGUCUGAUCCAGCAAUUCUGUGUGCACGAUGAGGUUUUUCGGAAUGUAAAGUGCUUUCAGUUGGGAAGAAAAAAAUGACGGUACCAACAGAAGAAGUGACGGCUAAAUACGUG
rnacentral:rRNA from 1 species